AGUGGCGGACGGGUGAGUAACGCGUGAGAAUCUGGCUUCAGGUCUGGGACAACCACUGGAAACGGUGGCUAAUACCGGAUGUGCCGAAAGGUGAAAGAUUAAUUGCCUGAAGAUGAGCUCGCGUCUGAUUAGCUAGUUGGAAGUGUAAUGGACUCCCAAGGCGACGAUCAGUAGCUGGUCUGAGAGGACGAUCAGCCACACUGGGACUGAGACACGGCCCAGACUCCUACGGGAGGCAGCAGUGGGGAAUUUUCCGCAAUGGGCGAAAGCCUGACGGAGCAAUACCGCGUGAGGGAGGAAGGCUCUUGGGUCGUAAACCUCUUUUCUCAGGGAAGAACACAAUGACGGCACCUGAGGAAUAAGCAUCGGCUAACUCCGUGCCAGCAGCCGCGGUAAUACGGAGGAUGCAAGCGUUAUCCGGAAUGAUUGGGCGUAAAGCGUCCGCAGGUGGCUAUGUAAGUCUGCUGUUAAAGAGUCUAGCUCAACUAGAUAAGAGCAGUGGAAACUACAAGGCUAGAGUACGUUCGGGGCAGAGGGAAUUCCUGGUGUAGCGGUGAAAUGCGUAGAGAUCAGGAAGAACACCAGUGGCGAAGGCGCUCUGCUAGGCCGUAACUGACACUGAGGGACGAAAGCUAGGGGAGCGAAUGGGAUUAGAUACCCCAGUAGUCCUAGCCGUAAACGAUGGAUACUAGGCGUGGCUUGUAUCGACCCGAGCCGUGCCGUAGCUAACGCGUUAAGUAUCCCGCCUGGGGAGUACGCCGGCGACGGUGAAACUCAAAGGAAUUGACGGGGGCCCGCACAAGCGGUGGAGUAUGUGGUUUAAUUCGAUGCAACGCGAAGAACCUUACCAAGGCUUGACAUGUCGCGAAUCUUCUUGAAA
rnacentral:rRNA from 1 species